rnacentral:piRNA from 1 species
UGUCUGUGUCUGUAAUUGCAGUGAUGGAGU